UGUCCUACGGGACGCAGCAGUGAGGAAUAUUGGUCAAUGGGCGCGAGCCUGAACCAGCCAAGUAGCGUGAAGGGUGACUGCCCUACGGGUUGUAAACUUCUUUUCUCAAGGAAUCACGUGAGGCACGUGUGCCUUUUUGUAUGUACUUUAUGAAUAAGGAUCGGCUAACUCCGUGCCAGCAGCCGCGGUAAUGCGGAGGAUCCGAGCGUUAUCCGGAUUUAUUGGGUUUAAAGGGCGCGUCUCUGGGUUGUUAAGUCAGUUGUGAACGUUUGCGGCUCAACCGUAAAAUUGCAAUUGCUACUGGC
rnacentral:rRNA from 1 species